UACGUAGGUGGCCAGCGUUAUCCGGAUUUAUUGGGCGUAAAGGGAACGCAGGCGGUCUUUUAAGUCUGAUGUGAAAGCCUUCGGCUUAACCGGAGUAGUGCAUUGGAAACUGGGAGACUUGAGUGCAGAAGAGGAGAGUGGAACUCCAUGUGUAGCGGUGAAAUGCGUAGAUAUAUGGAAGAACACCAGUGGCGAAAGCGGCUCUCUGGUCUGUAACUGACGCUGAGGUUCGAAAGCGUGGGUAGCAAACAGG
rnacentral:rRNA from 1 species